AGAUGAGGUCUCCCUUUGUUGCCCAGCUGGUCUGAAAUUCCUGGUUUCAAGUGACCCUCACACGUCAGCCUCCUAAAGAGCUGAAGUUAUAAGCAUGAACCAUUGUGGCCAGCGGUGGGACUGAUCCUUACAAAGGUCUUGUGUGCUUCUUAUCUCUCUUGGAACCACGUCAUGGCCAUGAAAACAAGCUCAAGCUAGCCUACUGAAGGAUACAAGAACCAUAGAGGAAAGCUGAGUCACUUUAGCUGAGGCCGUAAUAGACUGAUCAGCCCCCUGCCAACAACCAGUGAUGGCAGAUGCUUGAUCGGGCCCCAGAAAGAUCACCAGAAAUGAGUGAGUCAAGGUCACAAUAACUGAUCAGCUGAACCAUGGACUCAGGAAAAAUUUUUUUUAAAGGUAGUCGUUCGUUUUGUUUUUUAACAUACCAGUAGCUAUAUAGCCCAUAUUUGCAAAUGACUUCGAACUGGACAGAAUGGUUACUGGGUUGUAAUUUUGGAAUGACGGAUUGUAAGUAUCAAGAAGACUCUGAAUGGGAACAAAUGUACAAUUCUCAUGAAGUGCUGUACUUGAUUAAAAACUCAAUACAAAACUAAGAUGGUCUCCAGAUACAAGGAUGUAAUAUUUUCCAAUAUAUUUUUAGCAAACUCUCUGGAAUAGUUGGUUGUACUUCGGAGGCUGAUCUAGGGAAGAAUGGUUAGAAUCAGUCUAGAAAUCAUGUCAAAUUCUUAUCACUUGCUAUCAAACUAGCUGGUUCAAUUCCUUAUUAGUGCUCUGCAAUAAGAAAAAAUCUUGUGCUACAACAUAAAGCAACUAUCUCAAUAAACACAGUUUAAUUCAGCUAACUUUAUUUUUUUUUGUAGCAAGAAUUUUUCAGUGAAAUAAGUGGUGUGUUGAUUUAUAGUUUGGUGCAAGCUCCCUAUCUUCUUGCAGACCUAUAACAUCUGUGCAGAGGGUAAGAAAUAGUCACAGACCAUCACCAGUGCACUGACCACGCAGUGAAACCCUCUGCACUAGAGGAAUGGUUAAAUGAACUUAGGCUACCUAUCUCAGAAACAAACAAACAAACAAACAAACAAAC